UCGCACCUACCGAUUGAAUGGUCCGGUGAGGACUCGGGAUUGAUGUUUGGUUCCUUUAUUGGGACUUGACAAUGCGAACUCGUCCAAACCUUAUCAUUUAGAGGAAGGUG
rnacentral:rRNA from 1 species